CCUACGGGAGGCAGCAGUGGGGAAUCUUGCGCAAUGGGCGAAAGCCUGACGCAGCAACGCCGCGUGCGGGAAGAAGGCCUUCGGGUUGUAAACCGCUUUCAGAAGGAACGAAAAUGACGGUACUUUCAGAAGAAGGUGCGGCCAACUACGUGCCAGCAGCCGCGGUGACACGUAGGCACCAAGCGUUGUCCGGAUUUAUUGGGCGUAAAGAGCUCGUAGGCGGUUCGGUAAGUCGGGUGUGAAAACUUUGGGCUCAACCCAAAGCGUGCACUCGAUACUGCCGUGACUAGAGUUCGGUAGGGGAGCGGGGAAUUCCUAGUGUAGCGGUGAAAUGCGCAGAUAUUAGGAGGAACACCGGUGGCGAAGGCGCCGCUCUGGGCCGAAACUGACGCUGAGGAGCGAAAGCGUGGGUAGCAAACAGGAUUAGAUACCCUGGUAGUCCACGCCGUAAACGUUGGGCACUAGGUGUGGGUCUCAACCAACGAGAUCCGCGCCGUCGCAAACGCAUAAGUGCCCCGCCUGGGGAGUACGGCCGCAGGUUAAAACUCAAAGGAAUUGACGG
rnacentral:rRNA from 1 species